CAUAGGAACUCCCAAAAACCAGCAAAAGGACAAGAAGCAGUGGAAGAAUGUUGAUCAAGAUGCCUUAUUGAAGCCUAUGAAGCUGCAGAAACACAAGUUGCGUAAAAAGAAGGUUGUGACAACCCCGGAAAUAGUGGUGGAUGAUUUGGAGAUAUUAGAAACGACCAAAAACCAGCAAAAGGGCAAGAAGCGGGG